GGGCGAUUAGCUCAGUUGGUAGAGCGCUUCGUUUACACCGAAGAUGUCGGCGGUUCGAGUCCGUCAUCGCCCACCA
rnacentral:tRNA from 31 species